GAUGAACGCUAGCUACGUGCCUAAUACAUGCAAGUAGAAGGCUGAAGGCAGAGAUUGCUCUUUUUUAUUAGUUGCGGACGGGCGCGUGACGGGUAGGCGACUUGCCUGGUAGCGGAGGACUACGGUUUGAAACUAUAGCAAAUACCCCAUUACAACAUUUAUUCCAUCAUAAACAUCUAAAAGGGGCAACUGCUCUACUACCAGAUGGACGUGCGUCGUAUUAGCUACUUGGUGAGGUAACGGCUCACCAAGGCGACGAUACCUAGCCGACCUGAGACGGUGAUCGGCCACACUGAGACUGGAACGCGGCCCAGACCCCAACGGGAGGCAGCAGUAGGGGAGAGUCGGCUAUGGACGGGAGUGUGACCGUGCACCGCCGCGUGAGUGAAGAAGGUGUUCGGAUCGUAAAGCGUUGUUGUAAGAGAAGAGCGAGUGUGAGGGGGGAAAGUUCACAUUGUGACGGUAUCUUACGAGAAAGGGACGGCUAACUACGUG
rnacentral:rRNA from 1 species